rnacentral:rRNA from 1 species
UUAAGCGACUAAGCGUACACGGUGGAUGCCCUGGCAGUCAGAGGCGAUGAAGGACGUGCUAAUCUGCGAUAAGCGUCGGUAAGGUGAUAUGAACCGUUAUAACCGGCGAUUUCCGAAUGGGGAAACCCAGUGUGAUUCGUCACACUAUCAUUAACUGAAUCCAUAGGUUAAUGAGGCGAACCGGGGGAACUGAAACAUCUAAGUACCCCGAGGAAAAGAAAUCAACCGAGAUUCCCCCAGUAGCGGCGAGCGAACGGGGAGCAGCCCAGAGCCUGAAUCAGUGUGUGUGUUAGUGGAAGCGUCUGGAAAGGCGCGCGAUACAGGGUGACAGCCCCGUACACAAAAAUGCACAUACUGUGAGCUCGAUGAGUAGGGCGGGACACGUGGUAUCCUGUCUGAAUAUGGGGGGACCAUCCUCCAAGGCUAAAUACUCCUGACUGACCGAUAGUGAACCAGUACCGUGAGGGAAAGGCGAAAAGAACCCCGGCGAGGGGAGUGAAAAAGAACCUGAAACCGUGUACGUACAAGCAGUGGGAGCACGCUUAGGCGUGUGACUGCGUACCUUUUGUAUAAUGGGUCAGCGACUUAUAUUCUGUAGCAAGGUUAACCGAAUAGGGGAGCCGAAGGGAAACCGAGUCUUAACUGGGCGUUAAGUUGCAGGGUAUAGACCCGAAACCCGGUGAUCUAGCCAUGGGCAGGUUGAAGGUUGGGUAACACUAACUGGAGGACCGAACCGACUAAUGUUGAAAAAUUAGCGGAUGACUUGUGGCUGGGGGUGAAAGGCCAAUCAAACCGGGAGAUAGCUGGUUCUCCCCGAAAGCUAUUUAGGUAGCGCCUCGUGAAUUCAUCUCCGGGGGUAGAGCACUGUUUCGGCAAGGGGGUCAUCCCGACUUACCAACCCGAUGCAAACUGCGAAUACCGGAGAAUGUUAUCACGGGAGACACACGGCGGGUGCUAACGUCCGUCGUGAAGAGGGAAACAACCCAGACCGCCAGCUAAGGUCCCAAAGUCAUGGUUAAGUGGGAAACGAUGUGGGAAGGCCCAGACAGCCAGGAUGUUGGCUUAGAAGCAGCCAUCAUUUAAAGAAAGCGUAAUAGCUCACUGGUCGAGUCGGCCUGCGCGGAAGAUGUAACGGGGCUAAACCAUGCACCGAAGCUGCGGCAGCGACGCUGAUGCGUUGUUGGGUAGGGGAGCGUUCUGUAAGCCUGUGAAGGUGUGCUGUGAGGCAUGCUGGAGGUAUCAGAAGUGCGAAUGCUGACAUAAGUAACGAUAAAGCGGGUGAAAAGCCCGCUCGCCGGAAGACCAAGGGUUCCUGUCCAACGUUAAUCGGGGCAGGGUGAGUCGACCCCUAAGGCGAGGCCGAAAGGCGUAGUCGAUGGGAAACAGGUUAAUAUUCCUGUACUUGGUGUUACUGCGAAGGGGGGACGGAGAAGGCUAUGUUGGCCGGGCGACGGUUGUCCCGGUUUAAGCGUGUAGGCUGGUUUUCCAGGCAAAUCCGGAAAAUCAAGGCUGAGGCGUGAUGACGAGGCACUACGGUGCUGAAGCAACAAAUGCCCUGCUUCCAGGAAAAGCCUCUAAGCAUCAGGUAACAUCAAAUCGUACCCCAAACCGACACAGGUGGUCAGGUAGAGAAUACCAAGGCGCUUGAGAGAACUCGGGUGAAGGAACUAGGCAAAAUGGUGCCGUAACUUCGGGAGAAGGCACGCUGAUAUGUAGGUGAAGUCCCUCGCGGAUGGAGCUGAAAUCAGUCGAAGAUACCAGCUGGCUGCAACUGUUUAUUAAAAACACAGCACUGUGCAAACACGAAAGUGGACGUAUACGGUGUGACGCCUGCCCGGUGCCGGAAGGUUAAUUGAUGGGGUCAGCGCAAGCGAAGCUCUUGAUCGAAGCCCCGGUAAACGGCGGCCGUAACUAUAACGGUCCUAAGGUAGCGAAAUUCCUUGUCGGGUAAGUUCCGACCUGCACGAAUGGCGUAAUGAUGGCCAGGCUGUCUCCACCCGAGACUCAGUGAAAUUGAACUCGCUGUGAAGAUGCAGUGUACCCGCGGCAAGACGGAAAGACCCCGUGAACCUUUACUAUAGCUUGACACUGAACAUUGAGCCUUGAUGUGUAGGAUAGGUGGGAGGCUUUGAAGUGUGGACGCCAGUCUGCAUGGAGCCGGCCUUGAAAUACCACCCUUUAAUGUUUGAUGUUCUAACGUUGACCCGUUAUCCGGGUUGCGGACAGUGUCUGGUGGGUAGUUUGACUGGGGCGGUCUCCUCCUAAAGAGUAACGGAGGAGCACGAAGGUUGGCUAAUCCUGGUCGGACAUCAGGAGGUUAGUGCAAUGGCAUAAGCCAGCUUGACUGCGAGCGUGACGGCGCGAGCAGGUGCGAAAGCAGGUCAUAGUGAUCCGGUGGUUCUGAAUGGAAGGGCCAUCGCUCAACGGAUAAAAGGUACUCCGGGGAUAACAGGCUGAUACCGCCCAAGAGUUCAUAUCGACGGCGGUGUUUGGCACCUCGAUGUCGGCUCAUCACAUCCUGGGGCUGAAGUAGGUCCCAAGGGUAUGGCUGUUCGCCAUUUAAAGUGGUACGCGAGCUGGGUUUAGAACGUCGUGAGACAGUUCGGUCCCUAUCUGCCGUGGGCGCUGGAGAACUGAGGGGGGCUGCUCCUAGUACGAGAGGACCGGAGUGGACGCAUCACUGGUGUUCGGGUUGUCAUGCCAAUGGCACUGCCCGGUAGCUAAAUGCGGAAGAGAUAAGUGCUGAAAGCAUCUAAGCACGAAACUUGCCCCGAGAUGAGUUCUCCCUGACUCCUUGAGAGUCCUGAAGGAACGUUGAAGACGACGACGUUGAUAGGCCGGGUGUGUAAGCGCAGCGAUGCGUUGAGCUAACCGGUACUAAUGAACCGUGAGGCUUAACCUU